rnacentral:rRNA from 1 species
AUUGAACGCUGGCGGCAGGCCUAGCACAUGCAAGUCGAGCGGAUGAAGGGAGCUUGCUCCUGGAUUCAGCGGCGGACGGGUGAGUAAUGCCUAGGAAUCUGCCUGGUAGUGGGGGAUAACGUCCGGAAACGGGCGCUAAUACCGCAUACGUCCUGAGGGAGAAAGUGGGGGAUCUUCGGACCUCACGCUAUCAGAUGAGCCUAGGUCGGAUUAGCUAGUUGGUGGGGUAAAGGCCUACCAAGGCGACGAUCCGUAACUGGUCUGAGAGGAUGAUCAGUCACACUGGAACUGAGACACGGUCCAGACUCCUACGGGAGGCAGCAGUGGGGAAUAUUGGACAAUGGGCGAAAGCCUGAUCCAGCCAUGCCGCGUGUGUGAAGAAGGUCUUCGGAUUGUAAAGCACUUUAAGUUGGGAGGAAGGGAAGUAAGUUAAUACCUUGCUGUUUUGACGUUACCAACAGAAUAAGCACCGGCUAACUUCG